GUACUCAUGAUUCAGUUCAGAUUCAUCACACUUACUCUUCGCUCUUCCCUCUUCUUAUAAAAGGGGUCACAUAUUCACUAUAACUAUUGCAGAACCAAUUACCAUCAACGCUAACGGGAUUUUGAAAAUGGCAGCCAACAACCCAGCUCUGGAACCGGAUCAAGACCAUCCCGAAAACCCGGCACAUGAAUUUGCCCAGUUCGGAGCGGGGUGCUUCUGGGGAGUGGAACUAGCGUUUCAGCGAGUGGUGGGUGUAGUGAAGACUGAAGUUGGGUAUUCUCAAGGCCACGUUCCGGAUCCAAAUUACAGACUUGUGUGCUCUAGAACAACCAACCAUGUGGAGGUGAUUCGGGUUCAGUUUGACCCGCAAGUUUGCCCGUAUACAAAUCUCCUCUCUGUUUUUUGGGGCCGUCAUGACCCUACAACCCUCAACCGCCAGGGUGGUGAUGUGGGUGCGCAAUAUAGAUCAGGAAUCUACUAUUACAAUGAGACCCAGGCUCGUUUAGCCCGAGAGUCCAUGGAAGUUAAGCAGUUGGAGCUCAAGGAUAGGAAGAUUGUCACUGAAAUUCUUCCUGCAAAGAGAUUUUACAGAGCAGAAGAAUAUCAUCAGCAGUAUCUGGAAAAGGGAGGAGGUAAAGGACUCAAACAAUCAGCUGAAAAGGGUUGCAAUGAUCCCAUCAGAUGUAAUGGUUGACAAAAGUGAUUCAGGAUCUUUACCUCAGAAUAGAACUGGAAAUCUGAACCCCCAGCAUCAAUAGCCACUGCAACUGGCUGGUUUGCAACAGCUUUAAGCAAUGCAUCCUCAUCAUUAGCAGGGUUGACAGAGCCUUUUUUUCUCCAAUCAACAGACGGUGGGACAAGAUCUACCUUCUCAUACAUGAAGCUCCCGUUACCUCUUGGCGCCCCUUGGAACAUUCUGUGAUGCUUAACGUUGGAGC